rnacentral:lncRNA from 1 species
AGAGUGAAGGAGCAAAGGGGACUCGGUCGCCAUGUUAGGAGUACUGGGACGAUUCCACGGAGCCGGGCAGAGGUUUUAGGGGAAUGAUUAACAAAGGCGUCCGAAGAAAUCGUUGUUGGAAGGUGGCCAAGGUGGAAAGAGACGUUGCUUUGGCCCUGCAAGUAAGAAGAGAGAAGGAACAGCCUGAAGGAGUAACACUAAAUUUAAAAUGACACUUUUUUACCAACCAGCGAAAGCAGAUGUUCAAAGGGGAUAUUGGCCAGGUGGGUUGGGAGAGAAGGAGCCAAUUCAAUGUCUAGUCUUUAUUGGAAAGAAGAAACUUUACAGCUCAUUUUGAGCAACUUAGUGCAGAGGCUCAGUGGGUCAACUGGCAGGGCACCAGAUUGUAAUGGAUUUCACAGUUAGGGCAUUGCUGGGUCUCAUCUUUGUGCAGCCAAAAACUAGAGGACAGCACUGUUGUACUCUUCACAGAUGCAGCCCACUAUUCACUUGUUGGUGAUGGUG